UUCGGGGUGGAUGCUUUCUUUUGUCCUUAUUUGCCUGCCUCUCACCUGCUUUACCAGCCAGCUGGCAUUGCCCCCGCCUCGCCUGCCUGCUGUUGACUGGACCUGGGGAUGUGUUUGGCUUUUCACAAAUUUCUUUCAAAGCUAAAUACGAAUUUUCCAGCAAGUCUUGCAACUAGAGAUGGCUGUGUCAUGAAGCAAGCUGAUGUAAGUAGAGAUGUCCUGGAUCAUCUUGAUAUAACCAUAGAAUUAUAACUGAGUGAAAAGUGGAGUGUUCAUCAAAUAGAAGCAGUGAUUUGUUAUAGAAUGACAGAUGAGAGCAUAAACUCGAAAGAAAGAAGAAAGAAAGAAGAAAGAA